rnacentral:rRNA from 1 species
UACGAAGGGUGCAAGCGUUACUCGGAAUUACUGGGCGUAAAGCGUGCGUAGGUGGUUCGUUAAGUCUGAUGUGAAAGCCCUGGGCUCAACCUGGGAAUUGCACUGGAUACUGGCGGGCUAGAGUACGGUAGAGGGUGGCGGAAUUCCUGGUGUAGCAGUGAAAUGCGUAGAGAUCAGGAGGAACAUCCGUGGCGAAGGCGGCCACCUGGACCAGUACUGACACUGAGGCACGAAAGCGUGGGGAGCAAACAGG